CCCAUACCCUAUAGCAGUCACUCCCAGUUCUCUUCUUCCACCCAUUCCCUGGCGACCACUAAUCUACUUUCCGUCUCUAUGGAUUUGACUACUCAGGACAUUUUAUAUCAUGAAUCCAUUUGGAGAGGAAACCUCAGGACUUCCAAAAACACUACCUUAUCAGGAUGCUCCCAGAAAUGAUCAACAAAAAGGAAAGAUCAAAAGAAAGAGAGAGAGAAAGAAGAAGGAAGGAAGGAAGGAAGGAAGGAAGGAAGGAAGGAAGGAAGGAAGGAAGGAAGGAAGGAGGGAAGGAAGGAAGCUGCAGAAAAACUCAAUAUCCAGACAAGACAUCUGCUCAAUUUUGGAUUGUAUCAUUCCAGAAUUUUCCACAACAUACUUAACUAGCUUCUAAUUUUUUAAUUAAAACAUUUCUAACAUUGUGCUAUUUUAAAC